UACGUAGGGUCCGAGCGUUGUCCGGAAUUAUUGGGCGUAAAGGGCUCGUAGGCGGUUUGUCGCGUCGGGAGUGAAAACACGGGGCUUAACCCCGUGCCUGCUUCCGAUACGGGCAGACUAGAGGUAUGCAGGGGAGAACGGAAUUCCUGGUGUAGCGGUGAAAUGCGCAGAUAUCAGGAGGAACACCGGUGGCGAAGGCGGUUCUCUGGGACGGUACUGACGCUGAGACGCGAAAGCGUGGGGAGCAAACAGG
rnacentral:rRNA from 1 species